ensembl:ncRNA lncRNA:CR44520 long non-coding RNA:CR44520
UUUCAAACAUAAACAUGUCAAAAUUAGGAAAAUUUAAAAGCCACACGCCUCAAUGACAGGGUAUCUGCGAAAAUAAAUCCAACCUUUGGCCGGAACUCCUCUUGUGUUUCGUGAUAAUGAGAUAAGCAUGCAAAUGCCCUAAUAGAAUGAACUGCUUCAGCUUCCAUUUCGCCCACCCAUCCGACCGCCUCUUUUGUCUUUUAUUCAGGGGGCGUGGCCGAGGAGGAAAAUGGAAAAGCACCGGAGAGCUGAGUAGUCAAUUAACAAGCCGAACUGUGCUGCAGGUGGAUAAGCAUAACCCAGACAUCGGGCGAGGGUGCGAAGGGGAGAAACAGCUCCACCGUUCAUCAUCGUUUAUCUUAAUAAACCGCGCACUCAGUCAGACAUUAAGCUGGCGAAACCAAAAAGCAGCCAAAAGUCCUUUGGAAAAUUGCUUAAUUUGCAGUUGGCACUGACGCAGCCAGAAACAGAGUGAGGAAAAUCUGAUUCAGUAUGGACGACGGGGGGCGGCGAGGAAAAGUGGGCAGAUUCAGUGGCGGAUUCAGUGCAGCGUUAACGCAAACUUGAAGCGCGGCACGUAAAAAUGUUGAUAAAACGCACAAAGCCAGUUGAUGAUUUCAAUUUAUAUUUCCAAGUGGAACUCAUCUUUAGUGCUGGGCGGAAAAGCGUAGUCUUUUCCAGCAUUUUCCACCCAGCUCCAACAACAUUACGCGUUACAUGUAGCGAAUUUGCUGAAGCAUAUCACGUGCAACAUAAUUUUUCCACGCGACUUGCCACUUGCAAGCAAAAGUAGACAGGGGCGUGGAAAAGGGGGGGCUUAAGCCUGGCGACUGACAUGAAUGCUCCACGUCACCCAGAUCCUUCUGCACCCUCAUUCCGCCUUCACGGGGAAUGUGUAUUAUGAGCGUGAAGUAGACUAAAUAAAUUACGUUUGAGCACCAAAGGUGUUACGCACUGGAAAAAAAAGUAAAGACUGAUAUAAAGAUAUAAAAUAUUAGUUCAAGUUUUCGAGGUACGAAAUUCAAAUUUGUAAAAUGAAAUUUACCAUAUUUUCACUUGAAAAGUUUAACCUAUUUAAAAAAGAAAUUCGCAAUUUAUUCACCUAAUGCACCUGGUCACCUUUCGGAUGUCGUAAAUACCUAAAAGUAGUUAAAAAAUGCUAAUAGCCAUAAAAUAAGUUUAAAAACUUCGCACGCAAACCUUAUGCAAGUUUCAAUGCGUUUUUCGGCUCCUUCAGUAUUUAAAGCCCACAUCGAUGGCUGUGCCACGCCCACCUUUUCUUAACUUCAACUUCAACUUGAAGUUGAGAAUGCAUUUGGUCCUGGC